AUGCUCCGAAGCCUGUCGCUCAGCUGCCAGAUCUGCUUCUCUUCACCGUCCGCCCAGCCUAUCGCGCGCCUCGUCAGGUCCCCAUUCGGCACGUGGCUUGUCUCCCGUCGUCCCCACCCUUGCCCCUCUUGGCCGCUCAGGGCAGCUCUGGGAUUUGGCAGACGCCAGUCCUCCCUGAGAUGCCUCCCCAUCCUUCCCUCCGCCAGGCCCUACGUCUCCGCAAACCCCCCGCUUCGGGGAGACCGCUUCAGACAGGAAGCUGAGUCCGGGCCUGGGGUAAGGGACCUGCCCAAUCCUGUGACAGCCCGCGUCCUUCUGACAGUCACCUCCCACUAGCGGUGACCUUCCCGGUGUCCCACUGAGAAGUGGGCUCUUCCUUGGCAGGGGCUUCUUCACUGCAUCGCUGUGGAUAUCGAGGUGGGGCAGGAGAGUGAGGAGAAAACAAGAGAAGAGGGAGGUAGGGCCAGCGAGGGACAAAACGGGAGGGAAAUUUAGAUGGGAAGUGGAUGGGUCUGAGGAAUUUGAACAGACACUGAGAAAAUGAAGGAGAGUGACCUGAGCAAGUAGUAGUGAAGUAAACUGGAACUACGCAAAAACGCAAUCAGCAGAGAUGUGGAGGACAGAAUACAAUGAGGGCCCUGACCAUCAGUAGCAGAGGGGGCAACAGAAGCCUAAUCCCAAAUUCCUUAGAUAAUUUUCUGAUUUCCAAAUUAGUUUCCUUUUUAAAUUUGUUGUAUCAGGUUCAGUUUAUGAGGCCUCAAUACUUUUCAGUCUUAAUUAUGUAUUGAAAAUACUUUUUGUUUGGUAAAUACUUUUACAUUAAUUCAGUGUGCACUUUGUAAGAAUAUUGAUGAUUUGAGUUAGUUUAGUUUUCAACAUCUCCUCUAUUCCUUUAUAGACUCUCUGUAUUAAUGACUGUAGGAUAAAAUUUCCAACUAAGUAUAAAUAACAAUUUUCUUUGUGCUGUUUUCUGCAAUUAUUGAAGGAUGGGCUGAAUUGUCCUAGAACUUUGUUCCAACAGAUUCCAUGUGUUCAUAAUGAAUAAAUUGUUCAAAGAUA